GCCUGCCCACUGAGGGUAUUUAAGGGCCGCGGUAUUAUGACCGUGCGAAGGUAGCAUAAUCAUUAGUCUUUUAAUUGAGGGCUGGUAUGAAGGGUCGGACGAGAAAUGAGCUGUCUUAAAUUUUGAAAAUUGAAUUUAACUCUUAAGUGAGAAGGCUUAAAUAGGCUAGGGGGACGAUAAGACCCUAUAAAGUUUGACACUAAAUUAAUUAAGGGUGAUUUAGGUAAUAAAGUCUUAUUAUUAUAUAAGUGUUUAGUUGGGGCGACUAGGAUAUAAGUUAUUUAACUGUUUCUUCACUCGAAUCAAAAAUUUUUGAUUUUAUGAUCCUUUUUUAGGAUAUUAGAGUAAAUUACUUUAGGGAUAACAGCGUAAUUUUUUUUGAGAGGUCCUAUCGAUAAAAGAGUUUGCGACCUCGAUGUUGAAUUAAAAUUUCUUUGUAAUGCAGCAGUUACAAGAGAGGGUCUGUUCCACCUUUAAAUUUUUACAUGAUUUGAGUU
rnacentral:rRNA from 1 species